rnacentral:rRNA from 1 species
UUGAGUUGGGCACUCUAAAGAGACUGCCGGUGUCAAACCGGAGGAAGGUGGGGAUGACGUCAAGUCCUCAUGGCCUUUAUGACCAGGGCUACACACGUACUACAAUGGCCGGUACAAAGGGCAGCGACACAGCGAUGUGAAGCCAAUACCCGAAAAGCCGGUCUCAGUCCGGAUUGGAGUCUGCAACUCGACUCCAUGAAGUUGGAAUCGCUAGUAAUCGCGGAUCAGCACGCCGCGGUGAAUACCGGUUCCCGGGCCUU